UUGGCUGGAAAUCAGUCGAAGUAGGCUCAGUCCACCAGUUCCAGGGCAAAGAGAAAUUGGUUGUGAUAAUCUCUACAGUGAGAUCAUCCAGUAAAAGUAAUCCUUCAAUGAAGAACUCGCUGGGAUUCCUUACAAAUCCUAAGCAAUUUAAUGUGGCAGUAACACGUGCUAGAGCCCUGCUAAUCGUAGUGGGGAACCCCUGCACACUGAGUAGAGACCGAUGCUGGAAUCAGCUGUUGACUUAUUGUCAACAGAACAGUUCAACUAUCGGUGUCCAAAACUUAUCUUAGGAUGCGGUUUGAGCAAUUUAAUGUGGCAGUAACACGUGCUAGAGCCCUGCUAAUCGUAGUGGGGAACCCCUGCACACUGAGUAGAGACCGAUGCUGGAAUCAGCUGUUGACUUAUUGUCAACAGAACAGUUCAACUAUCGGUGUCCAAAACUUAUCUUAGGAUGCGGUUUGAGGUGAAUACAUUCCGUGAGAAAUUCUCUUCUCUUGGCUGGAAAUCAGUCGAAGUAGGCUCAGUCCACCAGUUCCAGGGCAAAGAGAAAUUGGUUGUGAUAAUCUCUACAGUGAGAUCAUCCAGUAAAAGUAAUCCUUCAAUGAAGAACUCGCUGGGAUUCCUUACAAAUCCUAAGCAAUUUAAUGUGGCAGUAACACGUGCUAGAGCCCUGCUAAUCGUAGUGGGGAACCCCUGCACACUGAGUAGAGACCGAUGCUGGAAUCAGCUGUUGACUUAUUGUCAACAGAACAGUUCAACUAUCGGUGUCCAAAACUUAUCUUAGGAUGCGGUUUGAGGUGAAUACAUUCCGUGAGAAAUUCUCUUCUCUUGGCUGGAAAUCAGUCGAAGUAGGCUCAGUCCACCAGUUCCAGGGCAAAGAGAAAUUGGUUGUGAUAAUCUCUACAGUGAGAUCAUCCAGUAAAAGUAAUCCUUCAAUGAAGAACUCGCUGGGAUUCCUUACAAAUCCUAAGCAAUUUAAUGUGGCAGUAACACGUGCUAGAGCCCUGCUAAUCGUAGUGGGGAACCCCUGCACACUGAGUAGAGACCGAUGCUGGAAUCAGCUGUUGACUUAUUGUCAACAGAACAGUUCAACUAUCGGUGUCCAAAACUUAUCUUAGGAUGCGGUUUGAGGUGAAUACAUUCCGUGAGAAAUUCUCUUCUCUUGGCUGGAAAUCAGUCGAAGUAGGCUCAGUCCACCAGUUCCAGGGCAAAGAGAAAUUGGUUGUGAUAAUCUCUACAGUGAGAUCAUCCAGUAAAAGUAAUCCUUCAAUGAAGAACUCGCUGGGAUUCCUUACAAAUCCUAAGCAAUUUAAUGUGGCAGUAACACGUGCUAGAGCCCUGCUAAUCGUAGUGGGGAACCCCUGCACACUGAGUAGAGACCGAUGCUGGAAUCAGCUGUUGACUUAUUGUCAACAGAACAGUUCAACUAUCGGUGUCCAAAACUUAUCUUAGGAUGCGGUUUGAGGUGAAUACAUUCCGUGAGAAAUUCUCUUCUCUUGGCUGGAAAUCAGUCGAAGUAGGCUCAGUCCACCAGUUCCAGGGCAAAGAGAAAUUGGUUGUGAUAAUCUCUACAGUGAGAUCAUCCAGUAAAAGUAAUCCUUCAAUGAAGAACUCGCUGGGAUUCCUUACAAAUCCUAAGCAAUUUAAUGUGGCAGUAACACGUGCUAGAGCCCUGCUAAUCGUAGUGGGGAACCCCUGCACACUGAGUAGAGACCGAUGCUGGAAUCAGCUGUUGACUUAUUGUCAACAGAACAGUUCAACUAUCGGUGUCCAAAACUUAUCUUAGGAUGCGGUUUGAGGUGAAUACAUUCCGUGAGAAAUUCUCUUCUCUUGGCUGGAAAUCAGUCGAAGUAGGCUCAGUCCACCAGUUCCAGGGCAAAGAGAAAUUGGUUGUGAUAAUCUCUACAGUGAGAUCAUCCAGUAAAAGUAAUCCUUCAAUGAAGAACUCGCUGGGAUUCCUUACAAAUCCUAAGCAAUUUAAUGUGGCAGUAACACGUGCUAGAGCCCUGCUAAUCGUAGUGGGGAACCCCUGCACACUGAGUAGAGACCGAUGCUGGAAUCAGCUGUUGACUUAUUGUCAACAGAACAGUUCAAAUAUCGGUGUCCAAA